UACGUAGGGUGCAAGCGUUGUCCGGAAUUAUUGGGCGUAAAGAGCUCGUAGGCGGUUUGUCGCGUCUGCUGUGAAAUCCCGAGGCUCAACCUCGGGCCUGCAGUGGGUACGGGCAGACUGGAGUGCGGUAGGGGAGAAUGGAAUUCCUGGUGUAGCGGUGAAAUGCGCAGAUAUCAGGAGGAACACCGGUGGCGAAGGCGGGACUCUGGGCCGAUACUGACGCUGAGGAGCGAAAGCGUGGGGAGCAAACAGG
rnacentral:rRNA from 1 species